GUUAAAAAGCUCGUAGUUGGAUUUCUGUGGGGACGGAGCGGCCGGCCGCAACUCGCGGUUCGAGCUAGCGCUUUCCCUACAUCCUGCCGCGAACCGUGCUACCAUUAGUUUGGUGGCGCCGGGGAUCGGCUCGUUUGCUUUGAGAAAAAUAGAGUGUUCAAAGCAGGCCACACGCCUUGAAUAAGUUAGCAUGGAAUAAUAAUUAAGGACUUCGGUUCUAUUUUGUUGGUGUUCGGGACUGAAGUAAUGAUUGAUAGGGACAGUUGGGGCGGUCCGUAUUCCAAAGCGAGAGGUGAAAUUCUUAGGCCUUCGGAAGACGAACAGCCGCGAAAGCGUUCCGCAAGGAUGUUCCCUUUGAUCAAGAACGAAAGUUGGGGGAUCGAAGACGAUCAGAUACCGUCGUAGUCUCAACUAUAAACUAUACCAGCUAGGGAUCGGCCAACGUUAUUCUAUACCGACUUGGUCGGCACCUUAUGAAGAAAUCAAAGCAUCUGGGUUCCGGGGGGAGUAUGGUCGCAAAGCUGAAACUUAAAGGA
rnacentral:rRNA from 1 species